rnacentral:rRNA from 1 species
GACGAACGCUGGCGGCGUGCUUAACACAUGCAAGUCGAACGGAAAGGCCCUGCUUUUGUGGGGUGCUCGAGUGGCGAACGGGUGAGUAACACGUGAGUAACCUGCCCUUGACUUUGGGAUAACUUCAGGAAACUGGGGCUAAUACCGGAUAGGAGCUCCUGCUGCAUGGUGGGGGUUGGAAAGUUUCGGCGGUUGGGGAUGGACUCGCGGCUUAUCAGCUUGUUGGUGGGGUAGUGGCUUACCAAGGCUUUGACGGGUAGCCGGCCUGAGAGGGUGACCGGCCACAUUGGGACUGAGAUACGGCCCAGACUCCUACGGGAGGCAGCAGCGGGGAAUAUUGCACAAUGGGCGGAAGCCUGAUGCAGCAACGCCGCGUGCGGGAUGACGGCCUUCGGGUUGUAAACCGCUUUCGCCUGUGACGAAGCGUGAGUGACGGUAAUGGGUAAAGAAGCACCGGCUAACUACGUGCCAGCAGCCGCGGUGGUACGUAGGGUGCGAGCGUUGUCCGGAUUUAUUGGGCGUAAAGGGCUCGUAGGUGGUUGAUCGCGUCGGAAGUGUAAUCUUGGGGCUUAACCCUGAGCGUGCUUUCGAUACGGGUUGACUUGAGGAAGGUAGGGGAGAAUGGAAUUCCUGGUGGAGCGGUGGAAUGCGCAGAUAUCAGGAGGAACACCAGUGGCGAAGGCGGUUCUCUGGGCCUUUCCUGACGCUGAGGAGCGAAAGCGUGGGGAGCGAACAGGCUUAGAUACCCUGGUAGUCCACGCUGUAAACGGUGGGUACUAGGUGUGGGGUCCAUUCCACGGGUUCCGUGCCGUAGCUAACGCUUUAAGUACCCCGCCUGGGGAGUACGGCCGCAAGGCUAAAACUCAAAGGAAUUGACGGGGCCCCGCACAAGCGGCGGAGCAUGCGGAUUAAUUCGAUGCAACGCGUAGAACCUUACCUGGGUUUGACAUGGAUCGGGAGUGCUCAGAGAUGGGUGUGCCUCUUUUGGGGUCGGUUCACAGGUGGUGCAUGCCUGUCGUCAGCUCGUGUCGUGAGAUGUUGGGUUAAGUCCCGCAACGAGCGCAACCCUUGUUCACUGUUGCCAGCACGUUAUGGUGGGGACUCAGUGGAGACCGCCGGGGUCAACUCGGAGGAAGGUGGGGAUGACGUCAAGUCCUCAUGCCCCUUAUGUCCAGGGCUUCACGCAUGCUACAAUGGCUGGUACAGAGAGUGGCGAGCCUGUGAGGGUGAGCGAAUCUCGGAAAGCCGGUCUCAGUUCGGAUUGGGGUCUGCAACUCGACCUCAUGAAGUCGGAGUCGCUAGUAAUCGCAGAUCAGCAACGCUGCGGUGAAUACGUUCCCGGG